UAAACAUCGAAAGGGUCUCUCUUGGAUGUCUUUACUGAGUACAUUGCAAUCGAGGGCGAAGCAGCAAUGACAUUAAUCGAAUGUUUGUCUCGUUAAAUUAAAAAUAUUCGCGUAGUAGAAGCAGCAUGUUAUUCGUUCGUAUUUAGUGAUUUAAACAACAAGUGUUUUUGUACAAAUCGAUUUUGCGUGCAAUGCAGUCGUUAGAGUCAGUGUUUGAUCCGCAAAGUGUUUUGCUUUUUUAACAGUCUCACAGACUGUAUUUAUCAAAGUCAGUAGAGUUAAAGUGAAAUAAAUUCAAUGACCGUCCGUUAAUAAAUAAUUAUCGUAAAUUAGAGUCAGUGCAUCAUUAAAGAGGAUUUCGACCAACUUCGAUGUCGACCUAUCUCAUUUACAACCACCUACGAAUCUCAUCCACCCUUAAUAUCGACCUAAAUCGCGGAUGAGUGUUUUGGAGCCAUCGUAGAGAACUUUCUUAAGUAGUUCUUAUCGGGUGAAAUGGAUCGGUCAGGAUACUAAAAUCAAGAUGACGCUCGUUCGGUACGUCUGCCCUCGCUCGUAUCGUACAGAAACAAGUGGCUUCCUUUCCUUCCGGCAAAUCCAGAACUAUCGAUCAAAGGGAUCCAACAGUGACGCUGAUUCCACAAAUAUUUGUCUGUCUCUCGGAACGGUGACGAAGGAGGAGGAGGGUUUAUAGACGAAUGAGAUAAAACGGGAUGGAUUCGGAGGGACGAGAGGGAGAUGAGGUGAGAUGAGACAAGGAACGUGGAGGUGUAGUGUGAAAGGGAGAUGAUGCGAGGGCGCGAAGGAAGGAUGAUGGUGCCUUUUUGGGGGAAAAGGGUGGAGUAAAAGCGUGCUUCUUAUCCCAAACGACACUCCUCUGCGAGAUCAACAAAUCCUCUUUUUUAUUCGAUGACUCCAUGGUGUGAGACAAAACGUAGAGGGUGCGCGGUCUUCUCGUUCACGGUAUAAAAGCUGGAUGAAAGAGGAGAAGAAGAAAAAGAAGAAGAAAGAGAAAGAGGAUGAUAAAGAAGAAGAAAAAG